AGUGAACGCUGGCGGUAGGCCUAACACAUGCAAGUCGAACGGCAGCACAGUAAGAGCUCGCUCUUACGGGUGGCGAGUGGCGGACGGGUGAGGAAUACAUCGGAAUCUACUUUUUCGUGGGGGAUAACGUAGGGAAACUUACGCUAAUACCGCAUACGACCUACGGGUGAAAGCAGGGGAUCUUCGGACCUUGCGCGAUUGAAUGAGCCGAUGUCGGAUUAGCUAGUUGGCGGGGUAAAGGCCCACCAAGGCAACGAUCCGUAGCUGGUCUGAGAGGAUGAUCAGCCACACUGGAACUGAGACACGGUCCAGACUCCUACGGGAGGCAGCAGUGGGGAAUAUUGGACAAUGGGCGCAAGCCUGAUCCAGCCAUACCGCGUGAGUGAAGAAGGCCUUCGGAUUGUAAAGCCCUUUUGUUGGGAAAGAAAAGCAGCAUAUGAAUACCCCGCUGUUCUGACGGUACCCAAAGAGUAAGCACCGGCUAACUUCGUG
rnacentral:rRNA from 1 species